rnacentral:rRNA from 1 species
CCUACGGGAGGCUGCAGUGAGGAAUAUUGGUCAAUGGUCGGGAGCCUGAACCAGCCAAGCCGCGUGAAGGAAGAAGGUGCCGAGUGUCGUAAACUUCUUUUGUCGGGGAACAAAGGGCGCCACGUGUGGCCUUGUGAGUGUACCCGACGAAAAAGCAUCGGCUAACUCCGUGCCAGCAGCCGCGGUAAUACGGAGGAUGCGAGCGUUAUCCGGAUUUAUUGGGUUUAAAGGGUGCGCAGGCGGUCUGUAAAGUCAGCGGUAAAAGCCCGGGGCUCAACCCCGGCGCGCCGUUGAAACUGGCGGACUAGAGUGGGCGAGAAGUACGCGGAAUGCGCGGUGUAGCGGUGAAAUGCAUAGAUAUCGCGCAGAACUCCGAUUGCGAAGGCAGCGUGCCGGCGCCAGACUGACGCUGAGGCACGAAAGCGUGGGUAUCGAACAGGAUUAGAUACCCGGGUAGUC